GGUUAAGCGACUAAGCGUACACGGUGGAUGCCCUGGCAGUCAGAGGCGAUGAAGGACGUGCUAAUCUGCGAUAAGCGUCGGUGAGGUGAUAUGAACCGUUAUAACCGGCGAUUUCCGAAUGGGGGAAACCCAGUGUGUUUCGACACACUAUCAUUAACUGAAUCCAUAGGUUAAUGAGGCGAACCGGGGGAACUGAAACAUCUAAGUACCCCGAGGAAAAGAAAUCAACCGAGAUUCCCCCAGUAGCGGCGAGCGAACGGGGAGGAGCCCAGAGCCUGAAUCAGUGUGUGUGUUAGUGGAAGCGUCUGGAAAGGCGCGCGAUACAGGGUGACAGCCCCGUACACAAAAAUGCACAUACUGUGAGCUCGAUGAGUAGGGCGGGACACGUGGUAUCCUGUCUGAAUAUGGGGGGACCAUCCUCCAAGGCUAAAUACUCCUGACUGACCGAUAGUGAACCAGUACCGUGAGGGAAAGGCGAAAAGAACCCCGGCGAGGGGAGUGAAAAAGAACCUGAAACCGUGUACGUACAAGCAGUGGGAGCCUCUUAAUGGGGUGACUGCGUACCUUUUGUAUAAUGGGUCAGCGACUUAUAUUCUGUAGCAAGGUUAACCGAAUAGGGGAGCCGAAGGGAAACCGAGUCUUAACUGGGCGUUAAGUUGCAGGGUAUAGACCCGAAACCCGGUGAUCUAGCCAUGGGCAGGUUGAAGGUUGGGUAACACUAACUGGAGGACCGAACCGACUAAUGUUGAAAAAUUAGCGGAUGACUUGUGGCUGGGGGUGAAAGGCCAAUCAAACCGGGAGAUAGCUGGUUCUCCCCGAAAGCUAUUUAGGUAGCGCCUCGUGAAUUCAUCUCCGGGGGUAGAGCACUGUUUCGGCAAGGGGGUCAUCCCGACUUACCAACCCGAUGCAAACUGCGAAUACCGGAGAAUGUUAUCACGGGAGACACACGGCGGGUGCUAACGUCCGUCGUGAAGAGGGAAACAACCCAGACCGCCAGCUAAGGUCCCAAAGUCAUGGUUAAGUGGGAAACGAUGUGGGAAGGCCCAGACAGCCAGGAUGUUGGCUUAGAAGCAGCCAUCAUUUAAAGAAAGCGUAAUAGCUCACUGGUCGAGUCGGCCUGCGCGGAAGAUGUAACGGGGCUAAACCAUGCACCGAAGCUGCGGCAGCGACGCUUAUGCGUUGUUGGGUAGGGGAGCGUUCUGUAAGCCUGUGAAGGUGGCCUGUGAGGGUUGCUGGAGGUAUCAGAAGUGCGAAUGCUGACAUAAGUAACGAUAAAGCGGGUGAAAAGCCCGCUCGCCGGAAGACCAAGGGUUCCUGUCCAACGUUAAUCGGGGCAGGGUGAGUCGACCCCUAAGGCGAGGCCGAAAGGCGUAGUCGAUGGGAAACAGGUUAAUAUUCCUGUACUUGGUGUUACUGCGAAGGGGGGACGGAGAAGGCUAUGUUGGCCGGGCGACGGUUGUCCCGGUUUAAGCGUGUAGGCUGGUUUUCCAGGCAAAUCCGGAAAAUCAAGGCUGAGGCGUGAUGACGAGGCACUACGGUGCUGAAGCGACAAAUGCCCUGCUUCCAGGAAAAGCCUCUAAGCAUCAGGUAACAUUAAAUCGUACCCCAAACCGACACAGGUGGUCAGGUAGAGAAUACCAAGGCGCUUGAGAGAACUCGGGUGAAGGAACUAGGCAAAAUGGUGCCGUAACUUCGGGAGAAGGCACGCUGAUAUGUAGGUGAAGCGACUUGCUCGUGGAGCUGAAAUCAGUCGAAGAUACCAGCUGGCUGCAACUGUUUAUUAAAAACACAGCACUGUGCAAACACGAAAGUGGACGUAUACGGUGUGACGCCUGCCCGGUGCCGGAAGGUUAAUUGAUGGGGUUAGCGGUAACGCGAAGCUCUUGAUCGAAGCCCCGGUAAACGGCGGCCGUAACUAUAACGGUCCUAAGGUAGCGAAAUUCCUUGUCGGGUAAGUUCCGACCUGCACGAAUGGCGUAAUGAUGGCCAGGCUGUCUCCACCCGAGACUCAGUGAAAUUGAACUCGCUGUGAAGAUGCAGUGUACCCGCGGCAAGACGGAAAGACCCCGUGAACCUUUACUAUAGCUUGACACUGAACAUUGAGCCUUGAUGUGUAGGAUAGGUGGGAGGCUUUGAAGUGUGGACGCCAGUCUGCAUGGAGCCGACCUUGAAAUACCACCCUUUAAUGUUUGAUGUUCUAACGUGGGCCCCUUACCGGGGUUGCGGACAGUGUCUGGUGGGUAGUUUGACUGGGGCGGUCUCCUCCUAAAGAGUAACGGAGGAGCACGAAGGUUGGCUAAUCCUGGUCGGACAUCAGGAGGUUAGUGCAAUGGCAUAAGCCAGCUUGACUGCGAGCGUGACGGCGCGAGCAGGUGCGAAAGCAGGUCAUAGUGAUCCGGUGGUUCUGAAUGGAAGGGCCAUCGCUCAACGGAUAAAAGGUACUCCGGGGAUAACAGGCUGAUACCGCCCAAGAGUUCAUAUCGACGGCGGUGUUUGGCACCUCGAUGUCGGCUCAUCACAUCCUGGGGCUGAAGUAGGUCCCAAGGGUAUGGCUGUUCGCCAUUUAAAGUGGUACGCGAGCUGGGUUUAGAACGUCGUGAGACAGUUCGGUCCCUAUCUGCCGUGGGCGCUGGAGAACUGAGGGGGGCUGCUCCUAGUACGAGAGGACCGGAGUGGACGCAUCACUGGUGUUCGGGUUGUCAUGCCAAUGGCACUGCCCGGUAGCUAAAUGCGGAAGAGAUAAGUGCUGAAAGCAUCUAAGCACGAAACUUGCCCCGAGAUGAGUUCUCCCUGACUCCUUGAGAGUCCUGAAGGAACGUUGAAGACGACGACGUUGAUAGGCCGGGUGUGUAAGCGCAGCGAUGCGUUGAGCUAACCGGUACUAAUGAACCGUGAGGCUUAACCUU
rnacentral:rRNA from 1 species